GCGGGACUCGGAGCCCACGAUGACCACUUGUAAAAGAGGAACGAUGCUUCGCCCCGCCCUUUAUCAAUAUACUUUGAGCAGAGUAGUAGCGACCUGCGGGAGUCAGAGGCGAUGGACGUUCGCGGCAAGAUCUUUACUAUGAGUCCAGCAUUGAUGGAUGCCUGAUACAGAACAGUAGAUAAGACUGCUAUGAAGACUGAAGUCAAUCAAGUAUACUUCCAUGAAACCAGUGAUGAAGCAUAACCAUGGUUUCCUCACUGAUGCCUGUGGGCUGGCUCUACCAGGCUCUUCCUGUCCAAAAGUCUGGGGUCUCCACAGUCAAUGCUAAGAAACACAAUGACAACUGACUCAAGUCCCCUGUUUAACAGGUGGGGGCCUAAGGGUUGUUAGAAGGAUUAGGUGAGUGGUCUAAGCUUGUGCAAUGGGUAAGCAACCGAGCCAAAGGAGACAAACAGCCUGAGUUUCCCAGCGCACAGAGCAGGAUUAUAUGGGAUUCAGGGAUGUCUUUGGCUGUAGAGUAGAGGAAAUCCCAAUGACGAGAAUCUCAAAGGUGCCCCCUACUUAAGUCACCUUCCUCUCCUAAUCUCUGAGGUCUAGUUUGUUAACAUCUGAAGUUGAGAAGAGUAGAUCCGCCUUUAUUUGGAUACAUUUUUUAAAGGCAAAAGGGAAGAGAAACCAAAGAGGAGAAGGAGCAGCGAGACUUUUCAGACUCCACUUGGAGAGGAAAGGAGCUGGUUUGUAGAAACUGGAAGAAAAACAUGCUGACAUGAGCCACAGGGGUCCACUGUGGUCAGAGGGGGGUUUGCAUCUGGGUUGUCAAAGAGAUGAGACUGUGUCUCUGGGGAGAAUGUAGCACACAAGGCCUGAGUCAACGGUCUCCCUGGAUCCCCAAAAUCUACUCCACCGGCAGAGGGUCCCUAUGUGGGGCCUCAGUUCAGCUUCUUUUAGCGGCCCCUGAAUUGCAUCUUAGAGAAAGACAGGCUAUUUGAGAAGACCCAGCAAACACAACUAUACAACCAUCUUGCAUUCUGAAAAUUUCUCACUUGAGAUCAAUCCAUUCCUUUGCCUAAAACAGACUUUAGCCUGCAUUGCAAUUGCCUACGUGCCGGUUAAACACAGAUGGCUGCCCCACCCCCACUAAGGGUGGGGUCUGAGGAUGUGCAUUUCUCCCAGGUUUACAGAUAACACGCUGCUGCAAAUCUCCACAAGGAGAAAAGCUUGACAAAACUAUGGCCCUUCUCACUGGCUCCUCGUUUCUGGAGAAAUGGAGGACCGAGAUGAGAAGACUGGACUGAAGGUCAGGUGGAAGCUUGGCCUGUCACUUGGUACAAGUCACUUGACCUUUCGAGUUCUCAGCUUUUUUACCUAUGAAAUGAAUUUGAAUAUUUUAACUUUGAAUUUUGACUUAAACAGGUGUGAUUGCUUUGUUUUUUCAGGGCCCCUGUCCCUACUGUGUUGGGAUCACCCAAGAGCUUGUUAGAAAUACAAUGUCUUUAUUCAAUCAUCAUUUUGAACAGACAGCAAUGGUUUUUCUUCCAAAGAUCGUUCUCCCCUUUUGUCUUUAGUAGCGGAUUUGCAGAAUCCAGCUGGUCUCAUAGUAUCCAGAACAAAUAUUCCCUUUCCCAGCAACCUUUGCAGGCAGAUAUGACCAUGUGAGGAAUUCUAGCUACUGGGAUGUGAGUGGAUAUGAUAUUUCAACUUCCAGUUUAUGCUCUUACAA